rnacentral:rRNA from 1 species
UGGUGGAGUGAUUUGUCUGGUUAAUUCCGAUAACGAACGAGACCCCGUCCUACUUACUAGACUUGAGAUGAUUUUCAUCUCUUGAAUUUUCUUUAGAGGGACAACUGGCGUAAAUCUAGCUACAUGAAAUGGGGCGAAUAACA